rnacentral:rRNA from 1 species
AAGCUCGUAGUUGAAUUUCGGGAUCAAUGUUUCGGUCAUGCCGUUGGUAUGUACUGAUAUUAUUGAUUUCUCACCUUCUAAAGAACCGUAAUGCCAUUAAUUUGGUGUCACGGGGAAUUAGGACUGUUACCUUGAAAAAAUUAGAGUGUUUAAAGCAGGCUCACGCUUGAAUACAUUAGCAUGGAAUAAUGAAAUAGGACAUCCGAUUCUAUUUUGUUGGUUUCUAGGAUCGAUGUAAUGAUAAAUAGGGAUAGUUGGG